GUAGGUGACUAGCGUUGUUCGGAUUUAUUGGGCGUAAAGGGUCCGCAGGGGGCCGGCUAAGUCUGAUGUGAAAUACCAAGGCUCAACCUUGGAACUGCAUUGGAAACUGGUUGGCUAGAGCAUCGGAGAGGAGAUUGGAAUUCCUGGUGUAGCGGUGGAAUGCGUAGAUAUCAGGAGGAACACCAAUGGCGAAGGCAGAUCUCUGGACGAUUGCUGACCCUCAGGGACGAAAGCAUGGGGAUCAAACAGGAUUAGAUACCCUGGUAGUCCAUGCUGUAAACGGUGUGAACUUGACGUGGGUGGAUUUAACCCCUUCCGUGUCGAAGCUAACGCGAUAAGUUCACCGCCUGGGGACUACGGCCGCAAGGCUA
rnacentral:rRNA from 1 species